rnacentral:rRNA from 1 species
AGUGAGGAAUUUUGGUCAAUGGACGGAAGUCUGAACCAGCCAAGUCGCGUGAAGGAAGGCGGCCCUAAGGGUUGUAAACUUCUUUUGUAAGGGAAUAAAGGUCGGUACGUGUACCGGUUUGCAAGUACCUUACGAAUAAGGAUCGGCUAACUCCGUGCCAGCAGCCGCGGUAAUACGGAGGAUCCGAGCGUUAUCCGGAUUUAUUGGGUUUAAAGGGUGCGCAGGCGGGGGAUUAGGUCGGCGGUGAAAUAUCAGGGCUCAACCUUGAGAGUGCCGUCGAAACCGGUUUUCUUGAGUGCGGAUGAAGUAGGCGGAAUUUGUGGUGUAGCGGUGAAAUGCGUAGAUAUCACAAAGAACACCGAUUGCGGAGGCAGCUUACUAAACCGCAACUGACGCUCAUGCACGAAGUCGUGGGGAUCAAACAGGAUUAGAUACCCUGGUAGUCCACGCAGUAAACGAUGAUUACUAGCUGUUUGCGAUACAAUGUAAGCGGCUGAGCGAAAGCGUUAAGUAAUCCACCUGGGGAGUACGUUCGCAAGAAUGAAACUCAAAGGAAUUGACGGGGGCCCGCACAAGCGGAGGAACAUGUGGUUUAAUUCGAUGAUACGCGAGGAACCUUACCCGGGCUUGAAAUGCAUCUGACCGGGCCGGAAACGGUCUUUCCCAGCGAUGGGCAGAUGUGUAGGUGCUGCAUGGUUGUCGUCAGCUCGUGCCGUGAGGUGUCGGCUUAAGUGCCAUAACGAGCGCAACCCUCAUCGUCAGUUACCAUCGGGUAAAGCCGGGGACUCUGACGAGACUGCCAUCGUAAGAUGCGAGGAAGGUGGGGAUGACGUCAAAUCAGCACGGCCCUUAUGUCCGGGGCGACACACGUGUUACAAUGGGCGGUACAGCGGGGAGCUACCUGGCGACAGGGAGCCGAUCCCGAAAGCCGCUCACAGUUCGGAUCGGAGUCUGCAACUCGACUCCGUGAAGCCGGAUUCGCUAGUAAUCGCGCAUCAGCCACGGCGCGGUGAAUACGUUCCCGGGCCUUGUACACACCGCCCGUCAAGCCAUGGGAGUCGGGGGUACCUGAAGUUCGUAACCCUUCGGGGAGCGACCUAGGGUAAGACCGGUGACUGGGGCU